UACGGAGGGUGCGAGCGUUGUUCGGAAUCACUGGGCGUAAAGGGUGCGUAGGCGGGUCUUUAAGUCAGGGGUGAAAUCCUGGAGCUCAACUCCAGAACUGCCUUUGAUACUGAAGAUCUUGAGUUCGGGAGAGGUGAGUGGAACUGCGAGUGUAGAGGUGAAAUUCGUAGAUAUUCGCAAGAACACCAGUGGCGAAGGCGGCUCACUGGCCCGAUACUGACGCUGAGGCACGAAAGCGUGGGGA
rnacentral:rRNA from 1 species